ensembl:lncRNA
CGGUUCUUGUAAUUUCGCUGUGCUUGCAUGAAAUGUGAUAUUGUCUCUAAAAUAUUACAUGAUCUAGCAAAGGUUCAGUAAUUCCUUGAUGGUAUGUGCUGUUCAGCGAUGCAUGUAGAUGCAUGUAGAAAUCUGGGUGGUAAGAGAGAGAAAUAACAAACCUGUGUGCAUUUCUGUUAUUUCCUGAAACCACAGUGAGACUUGGAAAAUGAAACUGCCGCUGUUCUUCUAUUGUUCUGUAUAGUGCCGAAAUGUUUUCAAGAGAGAUAGCAGGCAGGAGAGAGUGUCACUAAAGGUCCCUGAUGUUGGUCUACUUUAUAAUUGAUAGGUCUCCAGAGUUAAAUUUCAUGGCUAGCAUUACAAGAUCCAGUUGUAUCUCCUUCAGGGUGCACAGAGCAGUAAAUAUGGCUGCAUAACUGACUUGAUAUAUGAACCUAAGUCUAAGUCACAUAUGAAAGAAUGGUCUUUACCUUUGAAAGACAGCAUCAGUUUUUAUAGCACAGUAGCCUCUGCCACACCCUCCCAAAUCCACCUGCUUUCCUUUAUAAUCCCAAUGAAGCUGGAACAUUUGCUCAAGAGUCCAUUCUCCAUGAGAUUAGCAUUACAUGACCUUCUGAUGUAAUGAAUGGAGUGAAACAACAUGAUGUUGUGGUACAUUCUGGAACUAAAUGUAGAAGCAGCUGCUCUUUUGUAUGUAACAUCAGUCAUAUUGUUUCCUUCUCUGUGCAAUUUUGAAUCAAUUCAAGUGCCUGUCAGAAAAGAGAAUGUUAACCCUGAACCUGGUUAUGUUUUCGAUAGUAAAGUGCUCCUUUUGUUGCGGGGCAUUUCGAAGUGGUGAAAUCAGACCCUCCAAGUCUGAUAUUUCCUGAAAAUGUCAGUGGGACAAGUCUGAAAAAGGAUACAGUUCCACAACUCACUCUACACUAACAUUUUACUACCUGGUCAUUCAAAGGUUGAUGAGUAGAUUCAUCAGUGUGAAGGAGAUGAGGUUUCACUGAAUGUUUCAUUGACUAGUGUAAGGUAACAAUACAAAUGACAGAGAGCCACCAGUCUGUCUCUGAAAUGAUGAGUAUAUUUAGCUUUAUGUUUGAGGUGGUGUUACAUCUUCUCAAACAAAUAAGCAAACGCAAGGAAUAUAAAGUAUACUGUUAAAAAAACAGUCACCCAACUUUGUAUUAUAUAUAGGGCCUACAUAAAAAAAGAAUGAAGAAUCAUCACAAUUAUUGCUGCACUUACACUGCCUGGACAGGAAAAAAAAAGUUGCUGUCUGGAUUU